UACAUGGGGUGCAAACGUUGCUCGGAAUUAUUGGGCGUAAAGCGCGCGUAGGCGGUUACUCAAGUCGGAUGUGAAAGCCCUCGGCUUAACUGAGGAAGUGCACCCGAAACUGAGUAGCUAGAGUACUAAAGAGGGUCGCGGAAUUCCCGGUGUAGAGGUGAAAUUCGUAGAUAUCGGGAGGAACACCGGUGGCGAAGGCGGCGACCUGGGUAGAUACUGACGCUGAGGCGCGAAAGCGUGGGGAGCGAACGGG
rnacentral:rRNA from 1 species